rnacentral:misc_RNA from 1 species
UCUCUGCAACAAUGUAUCUUGCUUCGAAGGUGGGUAUUCCAGUAUUUGUCACUGGCGGUAUUGGUGGAGUACAUAGGCAUGGAGAGAACACAAUGGAUGUUUCUUCUGAUCUUACUGAGCUUGGAAAUACUCCUGUGGCUGUGAUCUCUGCUGGUAUAAAAUCGAUACUAGAUAUUCCUCGAACACUUGAAUAUUUGGAAACUCAAAGAGUUACUGUUGCAGCUUAUAGAACCGAUGAGUUCCCUGCUUUCUUCACACAAACCAGUGGCUGCAAGGCGCCUGCUCGAGUAGAAUCGCCGGAACAUUGUGCUCGAGUUAUUGAUGCGAACAUAAGACUUGAGCAGAAGAGUGGAAUCUUGAUAGCAGUCCCCAUUCCAAGAGAGCAUUCUGCUUCUGGAAGUUUGAUUGAGUUGGCAAUACAGCAAGCUCUUCAAGAAGCAAGAGAGAAGAAGAUUACUGGCAAUGCUGAAACUCCGUUCUUGCUUGCAAGAGUCAAUGAACUUACUGUUGGAGCAUCUCUGGCUUCAAACAUUGCUCUCGUGAAAAAUAAUGCCAGUAUCGGUGCUAAAAUUGCUGUUUCGCUUGCCCAGCUUCAAAAACGAAGUUACAAAAGGUAGUUAUUCUCUUAUAUUAUGCUUCUUCAUAUCAACUUAGCUAAGCAUUUUAAGCUCGUUGAGUCUAAAGGAAGCAGCGGCUUUGACAUAUGCAGCAGAAACAGUGUUACUUAUGGAAGUAUGCAACCAAACAGAAAGUUCAUGCAACAUCUUUCCUUUAUAAUCUAG